GAUGAAGAACGCAGCGAAAUGCGAUAAGUAAUGUGAAUUGCAGAAUUCAGUGAAUCAUCGAAUCUUUGAACGCACCUUGCGCCCUUUGGCCAUUCCGAAGGGCAUGCCUGUUUGAGUAUCAUGAACACCUCAACUCUCAUGGCUCGCCAUGAUGAGCUUGGAUUUGGGGGUCUUGCUGGCCUGUGGUCGGCUCCUCUCAAAUGGAUCAGCUUGCCAGUGUUUGGUGGCAUCACAGGUGUGAUAACUAUCUGCGCUUGUGGUUUUCCAUCAGAUAACCUUCAGUGAUGGAGGUACGCUGGAGCUCAUAAACGUCUCCCCUAAGCGGGGACAGCCCUUUGAAUGUUUGAUCUCAAAUCAGGUAGGACUACCCGCUGAACUUAAGCAUAUCAAUAAGCGGAGGA
rnacentral:misc_RNA from 1 species